ACUCCUACGGGAGGCAGCAGUGGGGAAUAUUGGACAAUGGGCGCAAGCCUGAUCCAGCAAUACCGCGUGAGUGAUGACGGCCUUCGGGUUGUAAAGCUCUUUUAGUGGAAAAGAUAAUGACGGUAUCCACAGAAAAAGCACCGGCUAACUUCGUGCCAGCAGCCGCGGUAAUACGAAGGGUGCUAGCGUUGUUCGGAAUUACUGGGCGUAAAGAGUACGUAGGCGGCUUAGUAAGUUGAUUGUGAAAGCCCCAGGCUCAACCUGGGAAUUGCAAUCAAAAACUGCUUCGCUAAGUUUGGUAGGGGGAUAAUGGAAUUCCUAGUGUAGGGGUGAAAUCCGUAGAUAUUAGAGGAAUAUCGGUGGCGAAGGCGAUUAUCUGGGCCAAUACUGACGCUGAGGUACGAAGGCGUGGGGAGCAAACAGGAUUAGAUACCCUGGUAGGUC
rnacentral:rRNA from 1 species